rnacentral:rRNA from 1 species
UACAGAGGUCCUAAGCGUUGUUCGGAUUCACUGGGCGUAAAGGGCGCGUAGGCGGCCUGGUAAGUAGGGGGUGAAAUCCUGCGGCUUAACCGCAGGGCUGCCUUCUAAACUGUCAGGCUUGAGCACGGUAGAGGCAGAUGGAAUUCCCGGUGUAGCGGUGGAAUGCGUAGAGAUCGGGAGGAACACCAGCGGCGAAGGCGGCGACCUGGACAAGUACUGACACUCAACUACGAAAGCGUGGGGAGCAAACAGG